GAUCAUGGCUCAGGACGAACGCUGGCGGCGUGCCUAACACAUGCAAGUCGAGCGAUGAAGUUUCCUUCGGGAAACGGAUUAGCGGCGGACGGGUGAGUAACACGUGGGUAACCUGCCUCAUAGAGGGGAAUAGCCUCCCGAAAGGGAGAUUAAUACCGCAUAACAUUGCAGUUUCGCAUGAAACAGCAAUUAAAGGAGCAAUCUGCUAUGAGAUGGACCCGCGGCGCAUUAGCUAG
rnacentral:rRNA from 1 species